ensembl:ncRNA asRNA:CR44892 antisense RNA:CR44892
UGUUACCGGAGAGGGAAGUUGCCAGACUCAAUAUGUGUGGCGCCUGCGCCUGUGUGUGUGAGUGAGAGACAGAAGAGAGCGGAGAGAGCUGAAAGAACGGACGUCAACAGGAUAUUUUUACGCAAAAAUCGAUAGCUCCACUCCCACGCCGUGACGUCAGAAGCAACCCGUCCGGACUCCGACAAACAAACGAAUUGGCACAUUCAACCAAUUGAGAGCGUCAAAUCGCUCUUAUCAGUGCUAUUCCAGAAUGCGAGCAUAUGGCCGUCACCUUCCAGUCAGACCCUCAUCCCCCUCUUCACCAUCCACACCCGCAUUUCAAUCGAGCUAACGACCGCUUUUCUUGAUAAGCGACGGUUGCAACUACAUAAAAACAAAAUGAUAAGCUCCGAUCCGAAGAUGAUCAGUGGGCCAAAAAUUGGAAUUGGGAUGCACCUCAGGAGGCGGCGAGGCGUACACGAAUUGUAUGUGCCCUCCAAGGAACAAUGAUUAUUGAAAUGUCUAAAGAAAACUAAAAUUUAAGCUCCUUGCCAUUCAUUUUAAUUGUGAUUGGCAUUCGAGAACGCAAAUAUACUUGAUUCAUACAAUCUAAGCCACGCUACUUAUUGCCGACUGCAGUCGGGCAUUCAAAAAAGACUGCAAACGCGCGUUCGCAGCGGAUAUUAGCUAUCUUUAUAGCACACUUAACUCACAGCAGCAAACCCCAUCAACUACAACGACAAACUGGUUGCGAACAAAUCCACAUUGCAGGAAAAUAAGGGGUGUAAAUCAAACACGAACCUCAAAGGCGGGCAAUUUUGCUUGCUCCUACUGUUUUUGUUGUGACAUCUAACCAGUUUCUUGUAAAACACAGCAAACGUCGUUCGCACCCCUGACGCCUGUAACUCUUUCUCAGUUAUUGUUGGGGCCGCCGUUGCAGUUGCGAAAUCAUAACGUCAGCGCACCGAAUACCAACUUUGUUUACUUUAUCAGCACAGUUUUGGAGAGGCCAUAAAACCGUCACCAAGAAUCGCACACCCGCACUCAGCGAAAAAUGGCAAAGGAUGUGGGGUCAGCAUCGCCACAUCACGUACCAAGGCCAUAAUAUAUGCGAUUUUCAGGCCUAACUAGAAUUAAACAGCUCAUUAAAUUGUGUCAGUUACCCGCUGGAGCACAAGUGGAAUGUUCAGAUGCCAUUGGGUCACAUAAAAAACCAGACAAGAGCCACAAAUAACGAUUCCUAGGCUAAAGAACGAUGGCCGUUUAAUUGUCAUUACCUAUACAAAUUUGUAGCAUCAUUGCAUGAAUCUAAAAAUAAAAU